UACGAAGGGGGCUAGCGUUGUUCGGAGUUACUGGGCGUAAAGGGCGCGUAGGCGGCCAGCACAAGUCAGUUGUGAAAUCUCCGAGCUUAACUCGGAAAGGUCAACUGAUACUGUGCGGCUAGAGUGCGGAAGGGGCAACUGGAAUUCUUGGUGUAGCGGUGAAAUGCGUAGAUAUCAAGAGGAACACCUGCGGCGAAGGCGGGUUGCUGGGCCGACACUGACGCUGAGGCGCGAAAGCCAGGGGAGCGAACGGG
rnacentral:rRNA from 1 species